rnacentral:rRNA from 1 species
AUUGAACGCUGGCGGCAUGCCUUACACAUGCAAGUCGAACGGCAGCACGGGAGCAAUCCUGGUGGCGAGUGGCGAACGGGUGAGUAAUAUAUCGGAACGUGCCCAGUCGUGGGGAUAACGUAGCGAAAGCUACGCUAAUACCGCAUACGAUCUACGGAUGAAAGCGGGGGAUCGCAAGACCUCGCGCGAUUGGAGCGGCCGAUAUCAGAUUAGGUAGUUGGUGAGGUAAAGGCUCACCAAGCCGACGAUCUGUAGCUGGUCUGAGAGGACGACCAGCCACACUGGGACUGAGACAGGCCCAGACUCCUACGGGAGCAGCAGUGGGGAAUAUUGGACAAUGGGCGAAAGACCUGAUCCAGCCAUGCCGCGUGUGUGAAGAAGGUCUUCGGAUUGUAAAGCACUUUAAGUUGGGAGGAAGGGUAGUAACCUAAUACGUU